UCUGUGAUCGAAUCACAGUGAAGUGUUGAUUCUCACUCUUUGCUUUAAAAAGAUCAUUGCUUGCUCUCAUUUCCCCACACAGAACUGGGAAAAAGGGCCUUUGUUCACUCUGCUCCGACUGCAUGGAACAUGUUGCAGAAAAACUGGAAGUUACCAGRGUUCCUACAGUUUAAGUGCCUCUAGCGUUUGGCCAUGGAACUGCRYCCACCAUCAUUGAUCUCAGGCAAAGGACAGAUGAGUGMCAGGACAGGGGCACUUCAGGGGGCCAGUCAGAUUUCAGCAGGGGCCAAUGCCCCAGUGGCCCCACCCCUGGAACCACCACUGGGAGGAGCUGGUAUCUCAAGUGGUCAUUGUGCGAGAGGCGGAGCUAAACUCUGGACUAAACAGCUGCGUGGACGCAGCGAGUCGGAACCUGAGGCAGAGCAGCUGUAAAGGCAGGUGUUGGCCAACAUGUCGGAUGCUGCCUCUUUGACUGGACAUGUCACGCUUUCCCUCAGUCAGCUGCUGGAGAACAUCUGGGCCUCGCUGGCUGAUGCUCUGCAGCGACUCGAGGACCGCUGUGACGUGUUGGACGGCUGCGGGAUGACAAGGAGGCA